rnacentral:rRNA from 1 species
AACGACUGCUAAUACCGCAUAAUGUCUUCGGACCAAACGGGGCUUCGGCUCCGGCGCAAAGAGAGGCCCAAGUGAGAUUAGCUAGUUGGUGAGGUAAAGGCUCACCAAGGCGACGAUCUCUAGCUGUUCUGAGAGGAAGAUCAGCCACACUGGGACUGAGACACGGCCCAGACUCCUACGGGAGGCAGCAGUGGGGAAUAUUGCACAAUGGGGGAAACCCUGAUGCAGCCAUGCCGCGUGUGUGAAGAAGGCCUUCGGGUUGUAAAGCACUUUCAGUUGUGAGGAAAAGUUAGUAGUUAAUACCUGCUAGCCGUGACGUUAACAACAGAAGAAGCACCGGCUAACUCCGUGCCAGCAGCCGCGGUAAUACGGAGGGUGCGAGCGUUAAUCGGAAUUACUGGGCGUAAAGCGCACGCAGGCGGUUUGUUAAGCUAGAUGUGAAAGCCCCGGGCUCAACCUGGGAUGGUCAU